rnacentral:rRNA from 1 species
CUGGUUGAUCCUGCCAGUAGUCAUAUGCUUGUCUCAAAGACUUAGCCAUGCAUGUACAAGUUCACACCUUCAAACGGUGAAACCGCGAAUGGCUCAUUAAAUCAGCUAUGGUUCCUUAGAUCUUACAUCCUUACUUGGAUAACUGUAGUAAUUCUAGAGCUAAUACAUGCCAAAGAACCUUGACUUGUUAAAAGUUGGGGUGGAUUUAUUAGAACAAAACCAACCGCUGAAAGGCGUUGAUUUGAUGACUCUGGAUAACUUUUCUGAUCGCACGGCCUUGUGCCAGCGACGUAUCUUUCAAGUGUCUGCCCUAUCAACUAUCGAUGGUAGGUGAUAUGCCUACCAUGGUUAUAACGGGUAACGGGGAAUCAGGGUUCGAUUCCGGAGAGGGAGCCUUAGAAAUGGCUACCACAUCUAAGGAAGGCAGCAGGCGCGCAAAUUACCCACUCUCAGCUCGAGGAGGUAGUGACGAAAAAUAACAAUACGGGACUCUAUGAGGAUCCGUAAUUGGAAUGAGUACAAUUUAAAUCGUUUAACGAGUACCAAUUGGAGGGCAAGUCUGGUGCCAGCAGCCGCGGUAACUCCAGCUCCAAUAGCGUAUAUUAAAGUUGCUGCAUUUAAAAAGCUCGUAGUUGGAUCUCAGGCUAGGAGCCGGUGGUACGCCUUGUGGCGUUACUGCUAGUUUCCGCCUCAUCAGUCGUAUGCUAUCUUAUGUGCUCUUAAUCGAGUGCGUAAGAAGCUCGGCACGUUUACUUUGAACAAAUUAGAGUGCUCAAAGCAGGCCUUGUGCUUGAAUACUUAUGCAUGGAAUAAUGAAAUAGGACUUCGUUUCUAUUUUGUUGGUUUUCGGUUACGAAGUAAUGAUUAAAAGAGACAGACGGGGGCAUCUGUAUGGUGGUGUUAGAGGUGAAAUUCGAUGAUCGCCGCCAGACAAUCAACUGCGAAAGCAUUUGCCAAGGAUGUUUUCAUUAAUCAAGAACGAAAGUCAGAGGUUCGAAGACGAUCAGAUACCGUCCUAGUUCUGACCAUAAACGAUGCCAACUGACAAUCGGGGUAAUUACAUUCAUUUUACCCUGGCAGUCCCUGGGAAACCUUUAAGUCUACAGGUUCUGGGGGAAGUAUGGUUGCAAGGCUGAAACUUAAAGGAAUUGACGGAAGGGCACCACCAGGAGUGGAGCCUGCGGCUUAAUUUGACUCAACACGGGAAAACUCACCCGGCCCGGACACUGUGAGGAUUGACAGACUGAUAGCUCUUUCUUGAUUCAGUGGGUGGUGGUGCAUGGCCGUUCUUAGUUGGUGGAGUGAUUUGUCAGGUUAAUUCCGAUAACGAACGAGACUCUAGCCUGCUAAAUAGUUAACACAUGCUCUGCUGUGUUCGUUAACUUCUUAGAGGGAUACGUGCGUGANCGCGCUACACUGACGAUAACAAUGAGUAUCAUCCUGGGCCGAGAGGUUCGGGAAAUCUUAUGAAUUAUCGUCAUGUCAGGGAUUGGAGCUUGUAAUUAUUCUCCAUGAACGAGGAAUUCCCAGUAAGCGCAAGUCAUAAGCUUGCGCUGAUUACGUCCCUGCCCUUUGUACACACCGCCCGUCGCUACUACCGAUUGAAUGGUUUGGUGAGGCCUUUGGAUUGAGUCUAUUGGAGUGUCUUCAUUCUAUGUGAUUCGAGAAAAUCGUCAAACUUGAUCAUUUAGAGGAAGUAAAAGUCGUAACAAGGUUUCCGUAGGUGAACCUGCAGAUGGAUCAAGGUGAACCUGCAGAUGGAUCAAGGUGAACCUGCAGAUGGAUCAAGGUGAACCUGCAGAUGGAUCAAGGUGAACCUGCA